AGAGUUUGAUCCUGGCUCAGGAUGAACGCUGGCGGCGUGCUUAACACAUGCAAGUCGAACGAGAGUAAUGACUUCGGUCAUUACGCGAGUGGCGGACGGGUGAGUAACGCGUGAGCAAUCUGUCCUUAAGAGGGGGAUACCAACUGGAAACAGUUGCUAAUACCGCAUAAGACCACGGUACCGCAUGAUACUGAGGUAAAAGGAGCGAUCCGCUUAAGGGUGAGUUCGCGUCUGAUUAGGCAGUUGGCGGGGUAACGGCCCCACCAAACCGACGAUCAGUAGCCGACCUGAGAGGGUGACCGGCCACAUUGGGACUGAGACACGGCCCAGACUCCUACGGGAGGCAGCAGUGGGGAAUAUUGGGCAAUGGGCGCAAGCCUGACCCAGCAACGCCGCGUGAGGGAAGAAGGUUUUCGGAUUGUAAACCUCUGUCCUUGUAGACGAAGGAAGUGACGGUAUACAAGGAGGAAGCCCCGGCUAACUACGUGCC
rnacentral:rRNA from 1 species